rnacentral:rRNA from 1 species
UACGUGGGGGGCGAGCGUUGUUCGGAAUUAUUGGGCGUAAAGGGUUCGUAGGCGGUUUGGUAAGUCUCGUGUGAAAUCUCCGGGCUCAACUCGGAGCCUGCACGAGAAACUGCCGGGCUUGAGUGUGGGAGAGGUGAGUGGAAUUCCUGGUGUAGCGGUGAAAUGCGUAGAUAUCAGGAGGAACACCAGUGGCGAAGGCGGCUACCUGGACAGAUACUGACGCUGAGGAGCGAGAGCGUGGGGAGCAAACAGG